rnacentral:rRNA from 1 species
GACGAACGCUGGCGGCGUGCUUAACACAUGCAAGUCGAACGAUGAACCCGGAGCUUGCUCUGGGGGAUUAGUGGCGAACGGGUGAGUAACACGUGGGCAACCUGCCCCAGACACUGGGAUAACUUCGGGAAACCGAAGCUAAUACCGGAUACGACCACUUCAGGCAUCUGAUGGUGGUGGAAAGUUUUUCGGUCUGGGAUGGGCCCGCGGCCUAUCAGCUUGUUGGUGGGGUAAUGGCCUACCAAGGCGACGACGGGUAGCCGGCCUGAGAGGGCGACCGGCCACACUGGAACUGAGACACGGUCCAGACUCCUACGGGAGGCAGCAGUGGGGAAUAUUGCACAAUGGGCGCAAGCCUGAUGCAGCGACGCCGCGUGAGGGACGAAGGUCUUCGGAUUGUAAACCUCUCUCAGCAGGGACGAAGCGAAAGUGACUGUACCUGCAAAAGAAGCACCGGCUAACUACGUG